GUUGCAUUAUUAUUAAAGUUUAUGACGGGGAUAGACGGGUAUGAAAUAAUUAGAUAGCAGUUACUUGAUUUGCGUGCCGUGUCUGUCGCAUUUCUGUAAUUCAAUCGGAUAUUUUAACGUUAACAAUGCCGGAAAAUAGUUAUCAACAGCUCUUGGUGUUCAUUCAGUUCAUUUGUCCAAAGCCAUUACGCCGCCUUCUUUAUAAUCUUGCAAAGAAUACAGUGACAUCGGAAAAGCCUUUCGAUUUUGAUAGGUUCCUUCUUUUUGAAAAGACCUCGCUGGACCAUUUGGUAAAAACAAACAAAAUACGCCAGAGCCAGUAACACCGUAUAUAACAUAUUGCUGGUAAAUCAAAUAUAAAUGACUUAGAUGUACUUUCUUUAGUCAUGCUCUUACAACAUUUGUUUGGAGAAGUGCUUACUACAGACGAAGCUAGUGCGAUAGAGUGUAUAAAGGGGAAAUACUUCAUGCUCCUUGUGCUUGCAUUUUAUAAAGUAAGACAAGUAACAAGUGACUAUUUUGAACGUACAUGGACGCACCUAGAGAAAGCUACUUUAACACUUGCAAACCAUGCAGCGGAGACAGAUGAUUUCAGAAGUAACAUUAGUAAGCUUAUUGCACAAGCAAGAUGCAAUAAUUUACCAAACGCAUCAAGCUAUGUCCAAGCUUGGUAUAAAGAAGUAUUGAAUUUUCAACGACAAGCAGACAAUGAAGAGGGUCAAUGUUUUGAAUGCAAAUUAGAGGAAAAUGUGACCGUCGCUAUGGAAGAAGAUACGAGUAUUGACCCUUUCCUGAAAAUAUUAGGU
rnacentral:lncRNA from 1 species